UAUUCUGAAUGCAAAGCCCUUCAGAGUCCUGAUUUGGGACCACCCUUUUGAAUUCCCCCUUUGCUGGAGACACUGCGAAGUUUAUUGAGAUGCAACAGGCUUGGGAGAAAGGGCACAGCAUUUAUUCUGGUGAUUGCUAUUCUCCCACCAUGACCGGCUGCUGAACAGGUGUGAUACAAAUCUUUGAAUGAAAAGAAACAGCUGAACCACCACACAGAGCACAUAACAAUGUCCUUUCCUGGCGGGUGAUACAUCGAAACCACAAGUGCCAGAGGGGAAAAGACCUGCCAUUGAAAAGCUUGAAGAUAUGAAUGACAGAUUGUUCACUUGACUUGCACAUUCAAAAAUAUGUAUUUUGUCCUUACCAGAGUGAAACGGUUGCUUUGACAUAAUUGUGGUCUCUUGUAUGAUGUUAUUUCAUAGUGUUGAAGCAAUUAUAAUUCUAGUUCAGAUGUGAAUAUUUUUAAAAAAGAAUUAUUAAAGAUGGUAAUUUUAAAUACUCAGGCACUGACAUUUUUAUGUUAAUAAUGCUGGUUUUAAUUUCUAAAAAAUUUAAAAAUAUGUCACUAUAGGGAACUUUUGGAUUUAGUAAAUCUGCUAGCUACAAAAUUCCCUUUUAAAGAAUUAAACUUCUUUAUAAUCCAACUCUAGCAAACUAGUUAUUUUCCAGAGGAUGUUAGCAUUCAUGAGAUGUAUUUGAUUUACAAUUCUAGAACAUCUGUUUGCUCAAAGAAAGCAUUAGUGUAAACAAUAAAGGGGUAUUCAUAUUACUUUGCUAAUAUUUUGGCCUCAGUUUGAAGCAACUGUAUAGUUUCAAUCGCUCAUGUCCACUUUCUGCUUAAACUCUCAAACGCAAUUAAUUGUUCUUUUCAUUAUUUACGAUCUUCAUACCUGUUCAUUAGGAGUUAUAGGGAGUCACAAUCAAAUUUAUGUUGUUCAGUCGUUCUUUUAGAGCAACAAAGAGCAGCAAUCCAGUUUCAUCCACUGCCAAAGCAUUUCCUGUCUGUUAACCCUAUUUUAUUAUCAAUCCCCUUUUGCACAGCAUCACGUGUCUAUUCUCAAAGCCUUCUUAGCACUAGGAUGAAAUAUAAAUAUCUAAUACCAAUUUCAAGUAAUGUGAAAAUGUUAGAAUGGCUAUUAAAAAUGUUGGGAAUAAUAUUUGAAGAAAUUGAUCCUCUUUUUUUUCAACUUCCUGAUAUCAUAGUGCCUAAUUUUUCCCUCUUUGGUUAGAAACUAUUGAUAUAGCUCACUAUAAAUGUUAUCACCAAGAAAAACAGAAAUUUUAACACUUUACAGGGGAAACACAAAUCAGCACUUUGAACAUGAAUGUGGUAUCACGGUAAUGAUAAAACUCCAGAGGUUUGAACUGAG